rnacentral:rRNA from 1 species
AUUGAACGCUGGCGGCAUGCUUUACACAUGCAAGUCGAACGGUAGAGGGGGCAACCCCUUGAGAGUGGCGAACGGGUGAGUAAUGCAUCGGAACGUGCCCAGUCGUGGGGGAUAGCCCGGGGAAACCCGGAUUAAUACCGCAUACGACCUGAGGGUGAAAGCGGGGGACCGAAAGGCCUCGCGCGAUUGGAGCGGCCGAUGUCGGAUUAGGUAGUUGGUGGGGUAAAGGCCUACCAAGCCUGCGAUCCGUAGCUGGUCUGAGAGGACGACCAGCCACACUGGGACUGAGACACGGCCCAGACUCCUACGGGAGGCAGCAGUGGGGAAUUUUGGACAAUGGGCGCAAGCCUGAUCCAGCCAUGCCGCGUGCGGGAAGAAGGCCUUCGGGUUGUAAACCGCUUUUGUCAGGGAAGAAAUCCUUUGGACUAAUACUCUGGGGGGAUGACGGUACCUGAAGAAUAAGCACCGGCUAACUACGUGCCAGCCGCCGCAGUAA